rnacentral:tRNA from 1 species
GCGGGUGUGAUGUUUAACGGUUAGCAUGUCAGUCUUCCAAACUGAACGUGGGAGUUCGAAUCUCCUCACCCGUUC